GAUCGGGAGGACGCGGGUUCGAAUCCCCCCGGC
rnacentral:sRNA from 1 species